rnacentral:rRNA from 1 species
AUACGGAGGGUGCGAGCGUUGUUCGGAAUUAUUGGGCGUAAAGAGCAUGUAGGCGGUCUGUUAAGUCUGGUGUGAAAGCCCGGAGCUCAACUCCAGAAUUGCCCUUGAUACUGGCGAUCUAGAGGCCGGGAGAGGUGAGCGGAAUUCCCAGUGUAGAGGUGAAAUUCGUAGAUAUUGGGAGGAACACCAGUGGCGAAGGCGGCUCACUGGCCCGGUUCUGACGCUGAGACGCGAAAGCGUGGGGAGCAAACAGGAUUAGAAACCCCAGUAGUCC